CCACCACCGCUGCAACCAGGUGGCUGGAGUCGGGACGCUGGAAAGCGACUCAGAGGAGAGGGUACUCGCCGACGGCGGCCGCCGCCACAGCGAAUCGCGGGGAGUAGCAACCGAAGACGGCGGCCGCCGCACCAGCCAUCGCGUGUGGAGGAUAAACGGCCGGCACGGCCAUCGCGGCGACCAAUCCAGGGAAAGAGUUAGCAAAGGCCAGGGCUUUAGUCGUAGCGAAGACUGGGAAAGAAUCCGUGAAGGCAGCGACCACCGCUGCAGGGUACCGACGGGAAGAGCAAGUGAAGACGUCGGCUUCUCCCGCAAUGACUCGAGAAGGGUCAGUGAAGACCUGGGCCACCGUCGCAGUGUCUCUCAGGAGAGAGUCAGGGGAGACGGUGGCCACCGUCCCAGCAACUCUUGGGAGAGAGUAAGGGGAGACCGCAGCAGCGACGUGAGUUUAAGUGAAGUCGGAAGCCACCCCACUAGUGACUCCGUGGGAACGGUCAGAGGAGACCGAGGCCUCCGUCUCAGUGGGACUUGGGAGGUAGUCAGGAAGGUCCGGGGUCCCCGAACCAGUGACUCCGGGGAGAGAGGCAGUGACGACUACAGCCGCCGCCUCAGUGGCUCUUGGGAGGGCGGAAGUGUGGAUGGCGGCCGCAGCCUCAGCAGUUCCUGGGAGGAGGGGGUGAGUGAAGACCGCGGCUACGUGGCCAGCGACUCCUCCGUGGUGAGCGUCAGCGAAGACGCCAGCCGCCGCCGCUUCUGGGAGAGAGAAAGCGAAGACGAAGGUUCCCGCUGCCGGGGCUCCUGGGAGAGAACGACGGAGGACGGCGUCCCCGGGCCUAGCGACGACGAGGAAGACAGCCGCUGCUGCACUGGCUCGUGGGUGACAGCGAGCGAAGACCGCCGCAGCAGCAGGGGCCAGGACUCGACUCCUCUCCGGAGUCCGAGGGGUCGCACCAUGCCCGGGGUGUCCGGUUCAGGCCCCUCCACCUUCUCCACGGAGACUGCGACCCCGUUAGGUGCCAGGAAGAAAGUGCAUUUUGGUAGCAUACAUGAUGCAGUACGCGCUGGAGAUGUAAAGCAGCUUUCAGAAAUAGUAGAACGUGGUGCCAGCAUUAAUGAAGUUGACGUUCUCCAUAAAUUUACCCCUUUACAUUGGGCAGCACAUUCUGGCAGUUUGGAGUGUCUUCAUUGGCUUCUCUGGCAUGGAGCUGAUCUCUCACAAGCAACCGUGACAGGUUGGACAGCAGCUCACAUAGCUGCCAUCAGGGGACAGGAUGCUUGCAUGCAGGCUCUUAUAAUUAAUGGAGCCAAUCUGGCAGCUCAAGAUGAUCGUGGAUGCACUCCUUUACACCUUGCUACAACACACGGACAUUCUUUCACUUUACAAAUAAUGCUCCGAAGUGGAGUGGAUCCCAGCGUGACUGAUAAGAGAGAGUGGAAACCUGUGCAUUAUGCAGCUUUUCAUGGGCGGCUUGGCUGUUUGCAACUUCUCAUUAAAUGGGGAUGUAGCAUAGAAGAUGUGGACUACAAUGGAAACCUUCCAGUUCAUUUAGCAGCCAUGGAAGGCCACCUUCACUGUUUUAAAUACCUACUCAGUAGAAUGAGCAGUGCCUCCCAAGCUUUGAAAGCCUUCAAUGAUAAUGGAGAAAAUGUAUUGGACCUAGCCCAGAGGUUCUUUAAGCAGAACAUUUUACAGUUUAUCCAGGGGGCUGAGUAUGAAGGAAAUGAUACAAAAGAUCAAGAAACUUUAGCAUUUCCAGGUCAUGUGGCUGCCUUUAAGGGUGAUUUGGAAAUGCUUAAGAAAUUAAUAGACGAUGGAGUAAUCAAUAUUAAUGAACGUGAUAAUAAUGGAUCAACUCUUAUGCAUAAAGCUGCUGGGCAAGGCCACGUAGAGUGUUUGCAGUGGCUAAUUAAAAUGGGAGCAGACAGUAAUAUUACCAACAAAGCAAGAGAGAAACCCAGUGAUGUGGCUAAGAGGUUUGCCCAUUUAGCAGCAGUAAAGCUAUUGGAAGGACUACAGAAAUAUGAUAUAGAUGAUGAGAGUGAAAUUGAUGAAAAUGAUAUUAAGUUUUUCAUAAGACAUGGUGUUGAGGGAAGCACUGAUGCCAAGGAUGAUAUAGGUCUCAGUGAGUCAGAUAAAACAGAUGCCAGAGUGAGAGCUUAUAAGAAAACUGUAGAAUUGAGACACCUCCUGGAAAUUGCUGAGAGCAACUAUAAACAGUUGGGAGGCAUAAAAGAAGAAGAUCUAAAGCAGAAGAAAGAACAGCUUGAGUCUGAAAAAUUGCCCUCCUUCAGACCUGAGAUCCAACUCAACAUGCCUUGGGAGUUCUGGUGCCCUCACCAUCCAGCAAUAAGGCAGAAAGAAACCCUGGUUCCAGUCCUAGCAUCGAUGUCUGGGACUAUCAAAGAGCUGCAGGGCCACCUGGAGUAUGAACGACUACGCAGAGAAAAAUUAGAAUGUCAGCUGGAUGAGUAUCGAGCAGAGGUGGAUCAACUCAGGGAGAUGCUGGAAAAAACUCAGGUUCCCAACUUUGCGGCUGUGGAAGAUGACCCUUCCUGUGAGUCAAGCAAAGAGAAGAGGCGAGUGAAGAAAAAGGUGUCUUCUGGGGGAGUUUUUGUGAAAAGCUGGUUUCUUUAGCUGUAAAAUGAGGAUAAUACCACCUACCUAAGAGGACUGCAAUGAAAAAUAGUUUGGGAAUUUGGUGUAUGUGCUUGGCUGCGGAGCCAAUGGGGCGAAGCUACCAUCUGUGGGAUUAUGACUGAACGCCUCUAAGUCAGAAUCCCGCCCAGGCGGAACGAUACGGCAGCGCCGCGGGA